rnacentral:tRNA from 1 species
GCCAAUUUGACUCAGUGGUUAUAGUAUCAGCCUGUGGACCGAAGGGCUGUGGGUUCAAUUCCCAUCAAGGGCA